GCUGGCAAAGCUCUAUUUGGAAGAGCACGCCCCUUGUAAGGGUGAGGAUGGGGGUUCGAAUCCCUCUGUCAGCU
rnacentral:tRNA from 1 species